rnacentral:rRNA from 1 species
AAUCAACGCUGGCGGCGUGCCUAACACAUGCAAGUCGAACGCGAAGACCCCGCAAGGGGUUUGUAGCGUGGCAAACGGGUGAGUAACGCGUGGGCGACCUACCUCUGAGUGGGGGAUAACCUUCCGAAAGGAGGGCUAAUACCGCAUGACAUCCCAUGAUUGGAUACAUGGACAUCAAAGCCGGGGAUCGCAAGACCUGGCGCUUGGAGAGGGGCCCGCGUCCGAUUAGCUAGUUGGUGGGGUAACGGCUCACCAAGGCAACGAUCGGUA